rnacentral:lncRNA from 1 species
GGUACAUGUAAAUACAUGUUUUACAGGACGUGAACUCAUGUCGUGUGUUGAGUAUGACCUUGUUUUGGUACAUGUAUUGCUUGAAAGGCUGUCUUGGUAUAUAUGACUUGUUGCAAACGACCAGAUUGGUUUUGAUAUAUAUGACAUAUUGAUGAUGAUUUAUUCAAUAUGGUUUUGUAGAUGCUUGAAAGAUGGAUGUUGGAAGAUGAGGAUGGUGAUUAUGAUGAUGAACUUGGUCUGUUUGAUGUGCCUAUUACUGAGAGAUUGAGUCAU